rnacentral:rRNA from 1 species
GAAUUCAACUCCUACGGGAGGCAGCAGUGGGGAAUAUUGGACAAUGGGCGCAAGCCUGAUCCAGCCAUGCCGCGUGUGUGAAGAAGGCCUUCGGGUUGUAAAGCACUUUUGUUGGGGAAGAAAAGCACUUGGUUAAUACCCAGGUGUUCUGACGGUACCCAAAGAAUAAGCACCGGCUAACUUCGUGCCAGCAGCCGCGGUAAUACGAAGGGUGCAAGCGUUACUCGGAAUUACUGGGCGUAAAGCGUGCGUAGGUGGUGAGUUAAGUCUGUCGUGAAAGCCCCGGGCUCAACCUGGGAAUGGCGAUGGAUACUGGCUCGCUAGAGUGCGGUAGAGGAGAGUGGAAUUCCCGGUGUAGCAGUGAAAUGCGUAGAGAUCGGGAGGAACAUCAGUUGCGAAGGCGGCUCUCUGGACCAGCACUGACACUGAGGCACGAAAGCGUGGGGAGCGAACAGGAUUAGAAACCCUUGUAGUCCAGGCGUU